GAUGAACGCUAGCGACAGGCUUAACACAUGCAAGUCGAGGGGCAGCGGGGAGUAGCAAUACUUCGCCGGCGACCGGCGCACGGGUGAGUAACACGUGUGCAACCAACCCCGUACCGGGAGAUAACCCGCGGAAACGUGGACUAACAUCCCAUAAUACUGGAGGAUCGCAUGAUCUUUCAUUUAAAAUUCCGGUGGUACGGGACGGGCACGCGCGACAUUAGGUAGUUGGCGGGGUAACGGCCCACCAAGCCGACGAUGUCUAGGGGUUCUGAGAGGAAAGUCCCCCACACUGGAACUGAGACACGGUCCAAACUCCUACGGGAGGCAGCAGUGAGGAAUAUUGGUCAAUGGACGAGAGUCUGAACCAGCCAAGUAGCGUGCAGGAUGACGGCCCUAUGGGUCGUAAACUGCUUUAUAAGGGAAUAAAGUGAGUCUCGUGAGACUUUUGCAUGUACCUUAUGAAUAAGGACCGGCUAAUUCCGUG
rnacentral:rRNA from 1 species